AGAUUUACUGCAGAAUAGCAAGGCAGUCUGACACUGAAGAAACACACUACCACUGAAGAAACACACACAUACAUACAUACACACUCCCUCUCCUGGAUCUAGAGAAACACACAUUAUAUACAAGUUUCUUAGAUCAAGUUUCAGGAGUAAGGGAAGAAUUCUGAAACUGAAAACCCAGGAGCACAAAAAACACACAUACAUAUAUAUACACUAAAAAAAACAUAUACACAUUAAUUUUUCCAGACAUAGAUGUAGAAAUUUAAAACACACUAUAUAUUCAUUUUUGCUCUUGGAUAUAGCUGCAGAAAUAGGGGAACAAGAUUUAAAUGAAGAUAUGGAAGUGUUUAAUCUAGCUAACAGAUGUGGAGUAGAGGACCUGGAAACAUUGCUCAGAAGGGAAAGACUCCAGUGGUUUGGACAUGUAAAGAGAGCAGUGGACGGCUGUUGGCAGGCGUUCUGGUCGGGCGUGUGUUCCUGUGUGCUCUCUACCCGCGUUGCCGUCUACCGAGUACUAGGACUGGUAUAUCCCGGUUUCUUUUUUGUGGUAUAUCCCGGCUUCUCUUUUGUAUUUUAUUACGGUCAGUCUUUGUCUUUUUGGUCUUGUUGUAGUUUUCUGGGUGUGGUGUUGUGUUUUAGGAGCUUUUCUUGUGUUUUGGUUUGGUUUGGUCUGUCCCGAGGUCAGGCCGGUUGUCCCUGGUGGAUUGUUUGGUAGCCCGUUGGUGAGUGACGGGUUGUUUGUUUCUUCCAUAAAUUGUUUUACUGUCCCUGGAACAGUUUUGGCUCCUAUCUCUUUGUUAUUUUUUUAUGUUUGGGGUUUAGCCUUGGCCAUGCUGAGUGUGGUGCUGGCCGUGGUUGGGGUGUGGUGACCAGGAGGAUGAGUGCUGGGAGGGGGAGUAGUUGGGGGUAGAGGACCCCUGCUGCAACUGCUACUCCUGCCCUCUGUUACCUCUUGUUAAGGAUGAUGAGGAGGGGGCAUUGCCUGUGGUGAGUGCAGCGAGUGGUGCCAUGGCUCACAAGCUUGCACUGGCCUUCCCUCAGAUUUUGUGAAGGAAGUCUUGAAGCACCAGGGUAAGGGGGUGAAGUAGGUGUGCACUUGAUGAAGGAAGUCUUGAAGCACCAGGGUAAGGGGGUGAAGUAGGUGUGCACUUGAUGAAGGAAGUCUUGAAGCACCAGGGUAAGGGGGUGAAGUAGGUGUGCACUAGAUGAAGGAAGUCUUGAAGCACCAGGGUAAGGGGGUGAAGUAGGUGUGCACUAGAUGAAGGAAGUCUUGAAGCACCAGGGUAAGGGGGUGAAGUAGAUGUGCACUAGAUUAAGGAAGUCUUGAAGCACCAGGGUAAGGGGGUGAAGUAGAUGUGCACUAGAUGAAGGAAGUCUUGAAGCACCAGGGUAAGGGGGUGAAGUAGGUGUGCACUAGAUGAAGGAAGUCUUGAAGCACCAGGGUAAGGGGGUGAAGUAGGUGUGCUCUAGGUGAAGGAAGUCUUGAAGCACCAGGGUAAGGGGGUGAAGUAGGUGUGCUCUAGGUGAAGGAAGUCUUGAAGCACCAGGGUAAGGGGGUGAAGUAUAUGUGCUCUAGAUGCAGAUUAGCUUCCCCUGUUAACUCAAGUUCACCUGCCAACCCUGACCUUCAGUCACUUCAGGAAUGCUUGGCGCAGAUGUUCAACACCAUUGCUGGUCUCAGUAAUUCAGUAAAAUCCAUUGAUUUACGGAUCUCUGAGACUCAAAGGAACAGCGUUGCUUCUGUGGGAGAAGGGAGGACUGACAGACAUAUGCAUACCAUGAUCAGAGAAGAGGUAUGAGAGUUGAGUGAGAGAGAGAAGAGGAAGGACAGUAUCAUGCCUCUUUCCUAUUGCCAGAGAGACUGGACCCGAUUACCUUGGUUGAUAUUGUACCAAUUUCUCCUUCCUUAGUCAGAGCUAAAAUCCCCAAUUCCAACUUGAAACAGGAAUUAUUGUCAAGGAGCAACAAAUUAUUUAACAGCCAAUAUGCACAGGUUUUUAUUUCUAGGGAUCUCACUUAUAACCAGAGAGAGGAACUGCGGAGAAAGAGGGCUGCCAGUCUUACUGACACGAGUUCUUUGCCCGGUCAGGCAACCCGAUUAGGUAGUGGCUCAAGCCUUGCGUCUGCUCCUGUGUCCUCUGAGCCUGACCCCCUGGCCUGUCCUGGUACUGUUGGCCCCACAAGAAUGAUCAUUAGACCUCUCCGGUUCCAAACAUGCUGAUGUUAAUGUCCUUGUACAUAAAUUCUUUAUUACUUUUAUUCUUUUGAAUUUCAAUUGUUUGGUGAAUAAAGUUAAAAUGCUUGUAUAUUUACUGUCCAGCUGUAAUGUGGCAUUAUGUGGUGUGUGUGAGGCUUGGCUUAAUUCUGAUAUCAGUGACACUGUUGGGAGGUUUUAAAGAUAUAUGGUGUGGGAGGAAAACUGCUUAAUGCAAUAAAGUCUUUUUAUGAGGAUGCAUCUGCAUGUGUCAAAAUUAGUGGAGAAACAAGUGAACAUUUUGAGAUAAAAGUGGGCGUGAGACUUUGUCCCAAUCUUGAACAUUUGCUGACAAGAAAUCACAAUUGGGACACUAGAGGUCACUCCUACAAGCUCCAUGUCCCCCGUUGUAACACUGAUGUGAGAGCCCGCUUCUUCUCAUUGGGAGUGAUUAACAUUUGGAACAGCUUGCCGGAUUAUGUUGUUUCUGUCACCUCGGUGAAUUCCUUCAAGCACCAGCCGGGCAAGCAUCUUGGUCAGAUCCUGUACGAGUUUGAUUGCCAUGUGGUUUGGUUGUUCUUUGGGCGUUUUGUUUGGAUUGUUGUUAUUGGCUGGGUAUUGAAAAUUAGUAGUUGUCCUUGCCAUUUUGUGAUGUCAUAUUAGCCGACCAUCUUCAUGAAAAUCAUCAGCUGCAGUUUUGGUUGGAGACAUGACACAGUUUUAUGGAGGGGGCGUGUCCACAUCCAGGUAAGAAAUCCUGGUAAGGGGAGGAUACAGUGCUGGGAGUUUUGGAGAGAUUGGAGGUAGAAGGAAGGAGACCAGUUGGUAGACCUAGGAAAACGUGGAGAAGGUGUAUACAGGAAGACUUGGCAUUGAUGGGACUGGAUGAACAUCGGGCAGAAGACAGAGUAGAAUGGAGGAGAGCCAUAAAGCGUCCAACCACUCAGGAAGUGUUUAAUGCUACGAAAUACACAUAAAAACACAUUAACUUUUCUCAACAGAUGUAGUAAAGCAAGAAACACACACUAUAUAUUAAUUUCUCCCUUAGACGUAGCUGAAAAAAACUAGGGGAAUAAAGAAGUCUUACCCUGCAUGACCCAACAGCUCAGCCCCUCACUCACCCCUUUCCUCACUAACACCAUAACCCACCAUAGACCAGCCCGGCCCACCACCUCACCCCUCCCUCCCUCCCUCCUUC